rnacentral:rRNA from 1 species
GAUGAACGCUAGCUACAGGCUUAACACAUGCAAGUCGAGGGGAAACGAUAUUGGAAGCUUGCUUCCGAUAGGCGUCGACCGGCGCACGGGUGAGUAACGCGUAUCCAACCUGCCCACCACUUGGGGAUAACCUUGCGAAAGUAAGACUAAUACCCAAUGACGUCUCUAGAAGACAUCUGAAAGAGAUUAAAGAUUUAUCGGUGAUGGAUGGGGAUGCGUCUGAUUAGCUUGUUGGCGGGGUAACGGCCCACCAAGGCUACGAUCAGUAGGGGUUCUGAGAGGUAGGUCCCCCACAUUGGAACUGAGACACGGUCCAAACUCCUACGGGAGGCAGCAGUGAGGAAUAUUGGUCAAUGGGCGAGAGCCUGAACCAGCCAAGUAGCGUGCAGGAUGACGGCCCUAUGGGUUGUAAACUGCUUUUAUAAGGGAAUAAAGUGAGUCUCGUGAGACUCUUUGCAUGUACCUUAUGAAUAAGGACCGGCUAAUUCCUGCCAGCCGCCGCGGUAA